CUAAUCAGAACUAAAUUACACAUUAUUAAUUAUAGACAACAUACUUUUAUUGAUAAUCGCAUGUAAACACGUAAAACAGCAACUUUAGUUUUAUUUCAUAGCAUUACCAAACAUGAAAAUAAAAAGAUGAACUAGACAUGUAAUAUAGUUUAGUGGUUAAGAUGGAUAUGUAUAUGCACCUUCAACUUCAAGGUCAAAGGUCUUUCAAUCCCCACCUCUCGACUUUAUUGUAAACAUAGGUGCAUAAGAUAGAAAAUAAAGUGUUACAACUUCUUAUUUGUUUUUUCAUAUGUUGAAGUUGUAGAGUAAAUUAGUCACGAUCGAGGGCAUACAUUAUAUGGAUAACCAAGCUUUCGGCCGCAACCGUUAACAAUUAGAUUGAGAUCAAUGGGAAUGCGUAAAAGGAUGAGGCCUCCAAUUUUCAAUUUAAGGGCAGUGCAAAGACAAACCCUAGCUUCAAGAUCCACUAGCCCUUCAAUCAAGCUACAACAUUGAGGGUAGCUUUGGUUUGGUUGGCUGUUAAGAACUAGGUUAACAAGGUUUAACACAUUUGCACAUGCCUCUAUGUUCAGGGUAUUUCUAGGGCAAGUGACCCCAUUGUUGGUAGGUGGGGGUGGGGUUAGGCUUGGUGGGGGUGGGGUUAGGCUUGGUGGGGGUGGGGUUAUGGUUGAUGGGGGUGGGGUAAGGCUUGGUGGGUGUACAGGCUGGUAAGAAGUGACAAGAGAAAAGAAGAGAAGGUUUAGAAGAAAGAAGAUAGCUAGUGGAGAGGUUUUGUUGAAGGAAUACAUUAUUUUUUAAUGAAGUAAAGAGUUUCUUCAAACAAGGAUGGAGAAAAAAGUGUAGCGAUGGAAGGGUUUUUAUAUUGUUAAUUGUGCC
rnacentral:lncRNA from 1 species